rnacentral:lncRNA from 1 species
AAGCUUACUUUUAAUAUCCUUGCCUCCUAGGGUAAGAUAUUUCUGAAGGAAAUCAGAAAAGCCCCAAAUCGAGACUUGAUUCUUAUUACUCAUAAGAGAAGACUGAAGCUUUAACAAUUAAUCUGCUUAGAACUGCAAUGUAAACUGCACGCAGCUAUUACCUGAUUUUUAUUUCCACUACUUUUCUUCCAUCACAAGCCCUAUGCAGAAAAAAAAGUGCCUCAGCAUCACUCAAAGCAAAUGAUACAGCAGGAGAGAGAAGGAGGAAG